CCCUUAGAUGUCCUGGGCUGCACGCGCGCUACACUGAUGUGUCCAGUAAGCACCUAACCUCUUCCGAAGGGAACGGGUAACCUUAGCAAAGCACAUCGUGAUGGGGAUAGAUUAUUGCAAUUAUUAGUCUUGAACGAGGAAUUCCUAGUAAGCACAAGUCAUCAGCUUGUGUUGAUUACGUCCCUGCCCUUUGUACACACCGCCCGUCGCUCCUACCGAUUGAAUGUUCCGGUGAAUACUUCGGACUGCGAGGUUUGUAGUUUCUGCACUCCUUGCGGAAAGUUGAAUAAACCUUAACAUUUAGAGGAAGGAGAAGUCGUAACA
rnacentral:rRNA from 1 species